UACGUAGGUGGCAAGCAUUAUCCGGAUUUACUGGGCGUAAAGGGUGCGUAGGCGGAUUUUUAAGUGGGAUGUGAAAUACCUGGGCUUAACUUGGGUGCUGCAUUCCAAACUGGGAAUCUAGAGUGUGGGAGAGGAAAGUGGAAUUCCUAGUGUAGCGGUGAAAUGCGUAGAGAUUAGGAAGAAUAUCCGUGGCGAAGGCGGCUCUCUGGGACGGUACUGACGCUGAGACGCGAAAGCGUGGGGGAGCGAACAGG
rnacentral:rRNA from 1 species